UCCUACGGGAGGCAGCAGUGGGGAAUAUUGGACAAUGGGGGGAACCCUGAUCCAGCCAUGCCGCGUGUGUGAAGAAGGCCCUCGGGUUGUAAAGCACUUUCAGCGAGGAAGAACGCCUAGCGGUUAAUACCCGCUAGGAAAGACAUCACUCGCAGAAGAAGCACCGGCUAACUCCGUGCCAGCAGCCGCGGUAAUACGGAGGGUGCAAGCGUUAAUCGGAAUUACUGGGCGUAAAGCGCGCGUAGGUGGCUUGAUAAGCCGGUUGUGAAAGCCCCGGGCUCAACCUGGGAACGGCAUCCGGAACUGUCAAGCUAGAGUGCAGGAGAGGAAGGUAGAAUUCCCGGUGUAGCGGUGAAAUGCGUAGAGAUUGGGAGGAAUACCAGUGGCGAAGGCGGCCUUCUGGACUGACACUGACACUGAGGUGCGAAAGCGUGGGUAGCAAACAGGAUUAGAUACCCUGGUAGUCCACGCCGUAAACGAUGUCGACCAGCCGUUGGGUGCCUAGCGCACUUUGUGGCGAAGUUAACGCGAUAAGUCGACCGCCUGGGGAGUACGUUGGCAACGAUGAAACUCAAAUGAAUUGACGG
rnacentral:rRNA from 1 species